AUACAGAGGGUGCGAGCGUUAAUCGGAAUUACUGGGCGUAAAGCGCGCGUAGGCGGCUACUUAAGUCAGAUGUGAAAUCCCCGGGCUCAACCUGGGAACUGCAUCUGAUACUGGGUAGCUAGAGUUUAGGAGAGGGAAGUAGAAUUUCAGGUGUAGCGGUGAAAUGCAUAGAGAUCCGAAGGAAUACCAGUGGCGAAGGCGGCUUCCUGGCCUAAAACUGACGCUGAGGUGCGAAAGCGUGGGUAGCAAACGGGAUUAGAAACCCCAGUAGUCC
rnacentral:rRNA from 1 species